UACGAGGGGGGCAAGCGUUGUUCGGAAUUACUGGGCGUAAAGCGUGCGUAGGCGGUUCGUUAAGUCUGCUGUGAAAGCCCCGGGCUCAACCUGGGAAUGGCAGUGGAUACUGGCGAGCUAGAGUGUGUCAGAGGAUGGUGGAAUUCCCGGUGUAGCGGUGAAAUGCGUAGAGAUCGGGAGGAACAUCAGUGGCGAAGGCGGCCAUCUGGGACAACACUGACGCUGAGGCACGAAAGCGUGGGGAGCAAACAGG
rnacentral:rRNA from 1 species